rnacentral:rRNA from 1 species
AGCGAACGCUGGCGGCAGGCUUAACACAUGCAAGUCGAACGGGCGUAGCAAUACGUCAGUGGCAGACGGGUGAGUAACGCGUGGGAACGUGCCUUUUGGUUCGGAACAACACAGGGAAACUUGUGCUAAUACCGGAUAAGCCCUUACGGGGAAAGAUUUAUCGCCAAAAGAUCGGCCCGCGUCUGAUUAGCUAGUUGGUGAGGUAAUGGCUCACCAAGGCGACGAUCAGUAGCUGGUCUGAGAGGAUGAUCAGCCACACUGGGACUGAGACACGGCCCAGACUCCUACGGGAGGCAGCAGUGGGGAAUAUUGGACAAUGGGCGCAAGCCUGAUCCAGCCAUGCCGCGUGAGUGAUGAAGGCCUUAGGGUUGUAAAGCUCUUUUGUGCGGGAAGAUAAUGACGGUACCGCAAGAAUAAGCCCCGGCUAACUUCGUGCCAGCCGCCGCAGUAAGAC